rnacentral:rRNA from 1 species
AGAACGAACGCUGGCGGCAGGCUUAACACAUGCAAGUCGAACGCUCGUAGCGAUACGAGAGUGGCAGACGGGUGAGUAACACGUGGGAACGUUCCCCUCGGUUCGGAAUAACUCAGGGAAACUUGAGCUAAUACCGGAUACGUCCGCGAGGAGAAAGAUUCAUCGCCGAGGGAUCGGCCCGCGUCUGAUUAGCUAGUUGGUGAGGUAACGGCUCACCAAGGCGACGAUCAGUAGCUGGUCUGAGAGGAUGACCAGCCACACUGGGACUGAGACACGGCCCAGACUCCUACGGGAGGCAGCAGUGGGGAAUCUUGGACAAUGGGCGCAAGCCUGAUCCAGCCAUGCCGCGUGAGUGAUGAAGGCCCUAGGGUUGUAAAGCUCUUUCGGCGGGGACGAUAAUGACGGUACCGCAGAAGAAGCCCCGGCUAACUCGCGCCAGCAGCCGC